UAUCACAAUAUCAUUGAAACUUCUUUUAAUGGAUUGAAAUGUUUUCAAUUCUUCCCAAUAUGAAUCAUUUGAUUGUGUAUUUGAUUCUCUAUGGGCCCUACAAUCACCAGUGGCACCUAGCAGCAUAUGGUGGCAGUCCAGUAGAAUAGAAUUGGAUGAAUCUCUAGGUACAGUUAACGUAUGAUAUAGUACUUUUAUUAUAAGUCUCGGUAAGA
rnacentral:lncRNA from 1 species